GACGAACGCUGGCGGCGUGCUUAACACAUGCAAGUCGAACGGUGAAGGGGCCUGCUUUUGUGGGCCCUGGAUGAGUGGCGAACGGGUGAGUAACACGUGAGUAACCUGCCCCCUUCUUCUGGAUAACCGCAUGAAAGUGUGGCUAAUACGGGAUAUUCUGGGUCUGUCGCAUGAUGGGUCUGGGAAAGAUUGCGCCUUUGGGUGUUUUUGGUGGGGGAUGGGCUCGCGGCCUAUCAGCUUGUUGGUGGGGUGAUGGCCUACCAAGGCGGUGACGGGUAGCCGGCCUGGGAGGGUGGACGGUCACACUGGGACUGAGACACGGCCCAGGCUCCUACGGGAGGCAGCAGUGGGGAAUAUUGCACAAUGGGCGCAAGCCUGAUGCAGCGACGCCGCGUGAGGGAUGGAGGCCUUCGGGUUGUAAACCUCUUUCGCCAGUGAAGCAGGCCUGCUCCUUGUGGGUGGGUUGACGGUAGCUGGAUAAGAAGCGCCGGCUAACUACGUG
rnacentral:rRNA from 1 species